rnacentral:rRNA from 1 species
AUGUCUGCUUUGUGCGAGAAUAUCAUCCACGGAAUAUCCAUCCUCCUCGCUGAUGACGAUUUCAACCGUGAGAUUCUCGGCUGCACUGCUCCGAUCUUCGUGACAACUCACAACCGAUCCACGACAAAAUCGGGGAACACUACGGAUGGACUGGGAGCCGCCACAAGCUGGGAAACUCACUGCGCAAGGGCGGAUGGCCACCAGCGAGCCAUGGAAGAGAGGGCCAGUGGGGAGGUCGCGAGGGAGACGAGAGGCGGUGCAUUGGAGCAGGAGAGGUGGGGCGUCACGAGAGGGAUUUCCCUGCCAACCGAGUCCGAGAGGAAACAGAAGUACCGAUUCGUGCGGGCCCGGUGCUCUUCCACCGGCCGGCAAGGCAAAACCUCCAUGGCCACCCAACGAGACGUCGACGCGAAAGUGCGCCUCACCGCCCCGACGGAACCCCGCGACGGCUCGUUGGCUAGACGGAGCCUAGAGCCGACGGCAGCGCAAGACAUCUCGUUCUUGAGGGAGGCUCUCGAUACUGCAACGUUGGCGGAAUCAUCUGUCACUGCCGCUUCCUCUUCCUGCCCGCCACCCGGGCUCUCACCACCGCCACCCGGGCGCUUGUCUCCUGGUCCUGGGACUCCGGCCAUCACGUCUCGAAGACCUUAUAAUUGGGCCAAGACAUUUAUCAUCAGAACCGAUCUCCGGGGAUCUUUCCACAUGUAUCCUCCUAUUGGUGGGCCAUUCCAGAGCUUACACGAAGCUGAUGAGGCCAUCGCUCGCCAUCUUGAUGACCUGCGGGAUAAGAACGUGUGCUUAGAUGGGAUGUCCUGGACGGAGAGAGUUACAAGGCGGGCUCUUUACCGGCCUGAUGGUACAAGGAAGAAGCUUUCAAAGUCGUUAUUAGAACCGGAAAGGCUUAAGCAUACACGCCUAUUGGUUCAAGCUCUACUGGACAAAUAUAAUGAGGACCACAAUCUUUUGGGGGUUUGCUCUAUCUCCGUCCUGCCGACACCCACACUUUCUUUGCUAUCUUACUCAUCUAACAUUUACUGA